rnacentral:rRNA from 1 species
AGCGAACGCUGGCGGCAGGCCUAACACAUGCAAGUCGAACGAACCUUUCGGGGUUAGUGGCGGACGGGGGAGUAACACGUGGGAACGUGCCCUUAGGUUCGGAAUAACUCAGGGAAACUUGUGCUAAUACCGAAUGUGCCCUUCGGGGGAAAGAUUAAUCGCCUCUAGAGCGGCCCGCGUCUGAUUAGCUAGUUGGUUGAGGUAUUGGCUCACCAAGGCGACGAUCAGUAGCUGGUCUGAGAGGAUGAUCAGCCACAUUGGGACUGAGACACGGCCCAAACUCCUACGGAAAGCAGCAGUGGGGAAUCUUGCGCAAUGGGCGAAGGCCUGACGCAGCCAUGCCGCGUGAAUGAUGAAGGUCUUAGGAUUGUAAAACUCUUUCACCGGGGACGAUAAUGACGGUACCCGGUGAAGAAGCCCCGGCUAACUUCGUG